rnacentral:rRNA from 1 species
AGUGAACGCUGGCGGUAGGCCUAACACAUGCAAGUCGAACGGCAGCACAGUAAGAGCUUGCUCUUACGGGUGGCGAGUGGCGGACGGGUGAGGAAUACAUCGGAAUCUACUUUUUCGUGGGGGAUAACGUAGGGAAACUUACGCUAGUACCGCAUACGACCUACGGGUGAAAGCAGGGGAUCUUCGGACCUUGCGCGAUUGAAUGAGCCGAUGUCGGAUUAGCUAGUUGGCGGGGUAAAGGCCCACCAAGGCGACGAUCCGUAGCUGGUCUGAGAGGAUGAUCAGCCACACUGGAACUGGGACACGGACCAGACUCCUACGGGAGGCAGCAGUGGGGAAUAUUGGACAAUGGGCGCAAGCCUGAUCCAGCCAUACCGCGUGGGUGAAGAAGGCCUUCGGGUUGUAAAGCCCUUUUGUUGGGAAAGAAAAGCAGCAGGUUAAUACCCCGCUGUUCUGACGGUACCCAAAGAAUAAGCACCGGCUAACUUCGUG